GAACCAGCCAAGUAGCGUGCAGGAUGACGGCCCUUGGGUGUGUAAACUGCUUUUGUAUGGGGAUAAAGUCAAUCACGUGUGAUUGUUUGCAGGUACCAUACGAAUAAGGACCGGCUAAUUCCGUGCCAGCAGCCGCGGUAAUACGGAAGGUCCAGGCGUUAUCCGGAUUUAUUGGGUUUAAAGGGAGCGUAGGCCGGAGAUUAAGUGUGUUGUGAAAUGUAGACGCUCAACGUCUGACUUGCAGCGCAUACUGGUUUCCUUGAGUACGCACAACGUUGGCGGAAUUCGUCGUGUAGCGGUGAAAUGCUUAGAUAUGACGAAGAACUCCGAUUGCGAAGGCAGCUGACGGGAGCGCAACUGACGCUUAAGCUCGAAGGUGCGGGUAUCAAACAGGAUUAGAUACCCUGGUAGUCCGCACAGUAAACGAUGGAUGCCCGCUGUUGGUACCUGGUAUCAGCGGCUAAGCGAAAGCAUUAAGCAUCCCACCUGGGGAGUACGCCGGCAACGGUGA
rnacentral:rRNA from 1 species